UGCUGCACUGCAACACUUUACA
rnacentral:miRNA from 1 species